GACGAGCGCUGGCGGCGUGCUUAACACAUGCAAGUCGAACGAUGAAGAAGAGAAACGCGAACUUCGGUUCAAAUUUCACUUCGGAUUAGUGGCAGACGGGUGAGUAACGCGUGAGCAACCUACCUCUUACAAAGGGAUAGCCUCGGGAAACCGUGAUUAAUACCAUAUGACACAUUCAUAAGGCAUCUUAAGAAUGUUAAAGCUACGGCGGUAAGAGAUGGGCUCGCGUCCCAUUAGCUAGUUGGUGAGGUAACGGCCCACCAAGGCGACGAUGGGUAACCGGCCUGAGAGGGUGAACGGUCACAUUGGAACUGAGACACGGUCCAAACUCCUACGGGAGGCAGCAGUGGGGAAUAUUGCACAAUGGAGGGAACUCUGAUGCAGCGACGCCGCGUGAGCGAUGAAGGAAUUCGUUUCGUAAAGCUCUGUUCUAUGGGAAGAAAAGGACUGUACCAUAGGAGAAAGCCCCGGCUAAAUACGUG
rnacentral:rRNA from 1 species